rnacentral:lncRNA from 1 species
UUUAUGUCUUCAAAAAUAUGGGAUUUAUGUGUUUUUAUUACACAUUGUAAACACACCAGUUUAGCACAUGAUUUGCAAUACAGGCAACAGUUUAUAUCUAAAUGUUCGGUACAUUUAAUGUUAUCAAAAUGUAUCUCUCCUUCAUAACUGAUGACUUGAACUUCCGUAUGUCCGACAUUUUUUAUGAAGACAAUUUUGUGCUCACUGUCUAGCUUAACAAACUUUGGAUGAAUUUUUUCCCUACAUUUUUGACACAUAAGUAAAUCACAAUCCAAACACUUCCACUUUAUGUCUCUGGAAAUUUCACAGAUUUGGCAUAACAUGGGGGCUUGUCCUUCUCCGUAUUCUGCCCUUGAAUCAGCCAUCACUGUAUUUGUGUAUAAAUUUGUGUUUAAAGGCUUGUCUCAAAGUUAUUAUUUUUGAAAUCACGAACACCGAUUACAAAGGAAAUUGUUGAACCAAAUAUUCUAAAAAU